rnacentral:rRNA from 1 species
GAUGAACGCUGGCUACAGGCUUAACACAUGCAAGUCGAGGGGAAACGACGGGGAAGCUUGCUUCCCCGGGCGUCGACCGGCGCACGGGUGAGUAACGCGUAUCCAACCUGCCUCUGACUGAGGGAUAACCCGUCGAAAGUCGGCCUAAUACCUCAUGGCAUCGUCUGCGGGCAUCCAACGACGAUUAAAGAUUUCAUCGGUCAGGGAUGGGGAUGCGUCUGAUUAGCUUGUUGGCGGGGUAACGGCCCACCAAGGCUACGAUCAGUAGGGGUUCUGAGAGGAAGGUCCCCCACAUUGGAACUGAGACACGGUCCAAACUCCUACGGGAGGCAGCAGUGAGGAAUAUUGGUCAAUGGGCGGGAGCCUGAACCAGCCAAGUAGCGUGCAGGAUGACGGCCCUAUGGGUUGUAAACUGCUUUUAUGCGGGGAUAAAGUGAUGGACGUGUCCUUCAUUGCAGGUACCGCAUGAAUAAGGACCGGCUAAUUCCGUG